GGACGUAUCAGUACUAGGCCCAGAUUUCUUUCUUUUCCUCUAAACACUAGGAAUAGGGAGAAAAAAAAUGAAAAUGCAAACCCUAGCAAAGUCCAAAAAUUCUUUCUUCAUUAAACAAGGUUUUUGUUCUCUAUUGAUUGAAUUUCUUUUCGGUUAAUUCGUGUGAAAUCAUUACGUUGCAUGUACCUAAUGAUCGAAAUGCAUUAUUUUCUGAGAAUUGAAGCAAUCCUGGUUCGUAUCCUUGCCUUAAAUUGGAAGGUUUAAUUGUAUCUUGAUUCACUUGCCUUGCAUUUCAUUGGAUUGAUGUUAAUUUAAGAGCCUAAAUGUAAUGUAUGUAUACUUGUCAUUGACGAGAUCAAAAGUUUGUCCAUCAAUUCCUUCUGCCGGUGUGUUCCUAUGGAUAUAAUUGAUCAUGAUUGGAGGAAUAAGGACUAAAAUAUUUUACGAGUUGAGUUGAAUGAAUGUAUCCAAUUGAUAAGGUUUGUGGUGUUUUUGUGUGGUUGAAUGAUCAUUUGGGCUUUUGUAUGUUUGUUGACAUUAAUGUCUUCAGACUAAAUCAACUUUGUGAUCAUGGUUUUUUAUUUACCAAAACUUAGCUUUUGAUAUUUUAAUGCAUCCCAUUUGAGAUCCUUUUGCUUCAUUAUCACAUUUGCCUUUUGACAUUCCUCUGCAGCUGUCAAGUAUCACGGUUGCUAAAGAGAAAUAAUCUAGGGAGUUGAAUGGUCGGGGGAGGAGCUUUUCCAAUGAGAAAUAACCACUGAGAGUUUUUGUGAUUUUAACGUGCCUAUUAUUUGUCUUUCAAUGAAAUGAGCUUCAUGGAAGUUGUCUGAUUGAGAGCCAUAGGCUUUAUGAAUGAUAUUCAAAUAUUUCAAGAGGUGUUAGGCUUGAAUACUUUGCUUGAAAAAGCAGGAAGCAGAUGUUGGUGAUUUUUGAUAUCUUGUGUUUUAAAGCAUUUGGAAUUGUUAAUUGGUAUAAAUCAUAAGGGCUAGAGAAUUAGUUUCCUCAAUGCAAAGUCACAUUUUCCUAUAAUUAAGUUGAUCGCCAUGUGGGAUAUUGUGCAACAAAUUGCCAUUUACAU
rnacentral:misc_RNA from 1 species